UAACAGGUGUCUACUUGUUGACAGGUACAAAAGCUUUGGGCAUUCCAUAUGGAAGUUGAAUACGAUGUGUGCUGCUUUCAGGUAUCAGGUCUUGGCCAUGAGGAUGCCUUCUGGAAGAGUUAAGGAUGUUUCCUACACUUAAUGACUGACUCUACAAAGAUGACAGACAUCAUUUGGUUCUCAUGUGAUUUUGGGCUAGUCCCCUCUUGUAAAACAGUUACCUUCUCUGGAGGUCUUGAAUGAUCCAAUAAAGUUUCAUAUUAAAGAGC